rnacentral:lncRNA from 12 species
AGUGGAGGAAAUAAGUCACAUUAACUCCUUUGUCAUUUCCAAGGUGAUAAGACUAUUAACUAUAUAUAUAUAUAUACACACACACACACACACACAUCUCUAUAUACCUCCUGGAUUUAAGAUCAGCUCCAAAGGGGAGACUGUGGCAGGAUAUUAAAAGUUUAACGAGGUGCAGUUUCAGAGGUGUUAACAUUUGACAACCAGAAACAGCAGUAGCCAAAAUCUUAUAAUACAAAACAGACCAUAAAUGAUGGGCAUAAAGGGUGCUGGCUUAGUGCAUACUUCUGGGCAGCAGGGUGUCCUGCAAGGAGAGAGAUCGGACCUGGAUUCUAGGCUUGCAUGGGAGCCAGCGUGGAUGGCUCUGCCACUGUGGGACCCGCCCUGGACGGGCAGCGUGACCGCCACCUGCCCGCAGUCCUGCCAGCCCAUGUGAGUCGCCCUUCUUCGGUUCCUCCCGAGAGCAAACCCGAAACCUCCUGACACUCUAUACCCGACAUCUGGCUGGUCAAUCAUCUCCAGCAUUAUGGGAAAGAUCCUGAUGGC